rnacentral:rRNA from 1 species
GACGAACGCUCGCGGCGUGCUUAACACAUGCAAGUCGAACGGAAAGGCCCUGCUUUUGUGGGGUGCUCGAGUGGCGAACGGGUGAGUAACACGUGAGUAACCUGCCCUUGACUUUGGGAUAACUUCAGGAAACUGGGGCUAAUACCGGAUAGGAGCUCCUGCUGCAUUGUGGGGGUUGGAAAGUUUCGGCGGUUGGGGAUGGACUCGCGGCUUAUCAGCUUGUUGGUGGGGUAGUGGCUUACCAAGGCUUUGACGGGUAGCCGGCCUGAGAGGGUGACCGGCCACAUUGGGACUGAGAUACGGCCCAGACUCCUACGGGAGGCAGCAGUGGGGAAUAUUGCACAAUGGGCGGAAGCCUGAUGCAGCAACGCCGCGUGCGGGAUGACGGCCUUCCGGUUGUAAACCGCUUUCGCCUGUGACGAAGCGUGAGUGACGGUAAUGGGUAAAGAAGCACCGGCUAACUACGUG